rnacentral:miRNA from 1 species
AACUUCCAGAGGUGGGAUUGCUGGAUCACAUGGUCCACCAUCACUUUUUACCUGGGCUAUUGCAGUAGCCUCCUUGCUGUU